GAAUCAACUAGCCCCAAAAAUGGAUGGCGCUUAAGCGCGCAACCUAUACCCGGCCGUCGGGGUAAGAGCCAGGCCCUGAUGAGUAGGAGGGCGGGGCGAUCGCUGCAAAACCCGAGGCGCAAGCUCGGGCGGAGCGGCCGUCGGUACAGAUCUUGGU
rnacentral:ncRNA from 1 species